ACGUAGGGGGCAAGCGUUGUCCGGAUUUAUUGGGCGUAAAGAGCUCGUAGGCGGCUCAGUAAGUCAGGUGUGAAACCUCCAGGCUCAACCUGGAGACGCCACCUGAUACUGCUGUGGCUAGAGUCCGGUAGGGGAGCGUGGAAUUCCUGGUGUAGCGGUGAAAUGCGCAGAUAUCAGGAGGAACACCAGCGGCGAAGGCGGCGCUCUGGGCCGGUACUGACGCUGAGGUGCGAAAGCGUGGGGAGCAAACAGG
rnacentral:rRNA from 1 species